UCUAACUACGAAAAUGUGAAAGACUCUGUGGUGUCUUAUUUCGAGUUCACAUGGAUGUAUGUGACAAGUACUUGUGGUUGACUUCUUUUGACAACAUUUUCAUUUACAAUAUGAUUGUCAUAUUGAACGGGAUUGGUUAUCAUCAAAAGUAUCUAUGUCAACUUCAGAUGAUGGAACAGAAUCAUCAAUGUGGAAUUUGAAGUUAAAACUGGAGUCCGUCAAGGCUGUGUAAUGUCGCCAACACCCUUCAUUAUCACAAAAGACUAGGUUAAGAGACAUACGAAAUCUGAUAUUUCAAGAGGCUGCCUCAGGCAUGAGAUGGGUAUAUAUACCACAUUUGAGGACCAGGCCCUGGACUUAGCUGAUGAUAUUGCCUGGUUUCCCCACCGGAACAUUCAAUGGAAAAUCAACAGACUGCACAAGGUUAUUGACAUCCCAAUCUUUAGUGGAAAGCUUCCAGAUAUCUUCUGCUAGUGACAGUCUACUAGCAAUCCAGAGAUGCUGAUGUUGAGGACACAGGGGCACCUGAUCCAAGAAUUGUGGCAUUUCAUUCGGAGCAACAACCUGGCAUUCAGUUGGUAUUACUCUUUGAGGUUGAAUAUAAAGUUAAAUCCGUAUACAUUUGGUUAAUAUUCAAAUGAAUUCAUAUAAUACAUUCACAAUGGAAUCAUGGCAUUAUGGUACACUGAUAUGCGUGUACCAUUUUACUGUUUAUCGUUGCAUUACUAGAUAUAACAUGUAAUACAAAAAGGAGACUAAAUACGGAAAAUCAUUAUUCUGUCUCUAAUUAUAAGGUAUAAUAAGUGUUUUAAAUGCUGACAAAUAAGGUAUGAUGGCCAAUACUGAUUAUUUGCAAUUUCAUUUCAAAUAUGGGACCCAAUUAUUCAGAAAACUGCAGAUUUUAUGAAGCUGUUUUUGACAGAAGAUUUGGUUUUCUCCAUCUGUGUUGCCACCAGCCAUUAUGCUGAGAUGGUCAUAUCUUGGGGGAAGGAUUGUCAUAUGUUUCCCAAGGAAGUUCACACCUGUCACUGAAGAGGAACUGUACAGAUUUUUGGGCAUUAUCUGAUGCAUGUCUGCUGAGAAGUUCCAGUCGAUAGAGAGAUAUUGGUCAACGCAUGCCCCUAUCGGAACAACCCAGUAUCAAGAUAUUAUGUCUAGAAAUAGGUUCUAAGAGGUUGAAUAUAAGAAGAACAUUUUUUGUUAAAUAUAAUGCAAGUACAAUUAAAUUUAGUGAUUGAAAGUAAGUACUUGAACAUUCGUAUACAUUGAACUUGAGGAGGAAAAACGGGCAGUACUUUUUCAUAACAUUUGAUAUAAUAAUGGUGUUGUUGCUUAGCAACCAAAUAUAUUUGAAUACAAAAAAAUAGAUUAUUUUAGAUUUUAACAGUAAAGAUCUUUGUUUUAAUGUUGCAAUAUUUAUAAUAUAUAGUGGAACAUUAUGACAAACGUCAUAUUAUUAGAAAAUGAUGAAUAUGUACUAUAUAAAGUACGAAAUUUCCAUUUUAUGACCUUUGACCUUAAUUCUCUUUAUUAUAUUUUUUGUUAAAAACCUUUUAAAAUGAUUAAAAUCUAGUCAAAGAUUAUAUUUUAAAAAUAAUGUGACAUUUACUAAUCAUCAUGCAAUGUAAUUAUGUUUAAAUUGUGUCGAAUGGAUGUAGAAAGGCAAAUUAUGGUCAAAAUUGUAUUAUGUGUAUUGUUACUUAGCAACCAAAAAUAUUUGUUUGUCAAUAAAAUUGAUUAAUUU